UGCCAUGAUGUCGUAAUUUGCGUCCUACUCUGUACUCGGCGACAGUAGCCUGCUGUCAUCAGGCUGGUGCAGACGGCUGACGACCAGCUAACUCUGAGCA